CAUAGCGUAAUGAAGCGAACCGGGGGAACUGAAACAUCUAAGUACCCCGAGGAAAAGAAAUCAACCGAGAUUCCCCCAGUAGCGGCGAGCGAACGGGGAGCAGCCCAGAGUCUGAAUCAGCUUGUGUGUUAGUGGAACGGUCUGGAAAGUCCGACGGUACAGGGUGAUAGUCCCGUACACCAAAAUGCACAGGUUGUGAACUCGAAGAGUAGGGCGGGACACGUGGUAUCCUGUCUGAAUAUGGGGGGACCAUCCUCCAAGGCUAAAUACUCCUGACUGACCGAUAGUGAACCAGUACCGUGAGGGAAAGGCGAAAAGAACCCCGGCGAGGGGAGUGAAAAAGAACCUGAAACCGUGUACGUACAAGCAGUGGGAGCCUCUUUAUGGGGUGACUGCGUACCUUUUGUAUAAUGGGUCAGCGACUUAUAUUCUGUAGCAAGGUUAACCGUAUAGGGGAGCCGAAGGGAAACCGAGUCUUAACUGGGCGUUAAGUUGCAGGGUAUAGACCCGAAACCCGGUGAUCUAGCCAUGGGCAGGUUGAAGGUUGGGUAACACUAACUGGAGGACCGAACCGACUAAUGUUGAAAAAUUAGCGGAUGACUUGUGGCUGGGGGUGAAAGGCCAAUCAAACCGGGAGAUAGCUGGUUCUCCCCGAAAGC
rnacentral:rRNA from 1 species